AUUCAGUUGACCAUCCAAAAUAGGACGAAACGCGUGUCCUGGAU
rnacentral:hammerhead_ribozyme from 1 species